UCUACGGGGUGCUGCAGUCGGGAAUAUUGCGCAAUGGAGGAAACUCUGACGCAGUGACGCCGCGUGCAGGCAGAAGGUUUUCGGAUUGUACACUUCUUUAGACAGGGAAGAAAAACGACAGUACCUGUAGACUACGCUCCGGCUAACUAGGUGCCAGCAGCCGCGGUAAUACGUAGGGAGCAAGCGUUAUCCGGAUUUCUUGGGUGUAAAGGGUGCGUAGACGGAGAAGCAAGUUAGUUGUGAAAUCCCUCGGCUUAACUGAGGAACUGCAACUAAAACUACUUCCCUUGAGUACGGGAGAGGAAAGUGGAAUUCCUAGUGUAGCGGUGAAAUGCGUAGAUAUUAGGAGGAACACCAGUGGCGAAGGCGACUUUCUGGACAGUAACUGACGUUGAGGCACGAAAGUGUGGGGAGCAAACAGGAUUAGAUACCCGGGUAGUC
rnacentral:rRNA from 1 species